UACGGGGGGAGCAAGCGUUGUUCGGAUUUACUGGGCGUAAAGGGCGCGUAGGCGGCCUGUGCAAGUCAGUUGUGAAAUCUCCGAGCUUAACUCGGAAUCUGUCUUUUGAAACUUUUAGACUAGAGGGGCAAAGAGGAAGCUGGAACGAGCGGUGUAGUAGUGAAAUGCGUUGAUAUCGCUCGGAACACCAAUAGCGUAGGCAAGCUUCUGGGUGCCUCCUGACACUGCUAGGACGAGAGCGUGGGUAGCGAAUGGG
rnacentral:rRNA from 1 species